AUCGGAGAGGGGCCGAGCCAGCUUCCCAAGCUGGUAGCGCGGGUUCGAUUCCCGUCACUCGCUCCA
rnacentral:tRNA from 1 species